UAGCUUUAAGAGCUCUCCUGUCAUUUGUUAGUGGUAUCAAGAUGUGUAAUCACAUUAUAGUCAGUAUACCUGUUGUAAAGGGCACUACUUCCAAGUGCCUUCAGCAAACGAUGCAUUUACAGUAAGGCUAUUAAAAUGGGUUCCUCAGAAAGGUCCCUUUUAAAAGCAGCAAUUGGAAACUACAGGUUUUGGACUGCUUGCUUUGUGCUGUUAUGACCAGGGACCAGUCUUACUGACUGGCAAACACUAAGCAAAAUGUUUUUUCUGCUGAACAGACUAGCUGAAGGUAACCUGCAAAUAAAGAAAAUCUGACUGGUGAUGUUUUAGGUUUUGGGCUGGGUUGUUUGUUAAUAUAUGAUAGAAUUUUUGGAGGUAUUUUAAGUGAAGGAGGCAACGUAGGUCAAUGGCCAGAAACCAACAAUUACUGCUUGCUUGGUACCAUAGGGAUGUCUAUCCUUUCAGUUGGAUUGCUACCUGGAUUGGCCCUUUUUGGUGUAUUUUACAGAAACAAGUUAAGUAAAGUGAUAUCUGGACCCAGAAGAGCAUUACGCAAUGUCAGACACUCAGUAAUUUCAGUAUGUCCUUCAGGUAGUUACACUGUAGUAGUGGUACAUGUGCACCAGCACAUAAUUUACAGUCAUCAAAAGAAAUUACAUCAUCUGCUAAUGUGAUUUUUUUUCCCUCUUACAUGUCCAUUUUCCAGAUGCUCAGAGACAGCUAGAAUGAACAAGACUAAAAUCCAUUAUGCAAACACCCAAAGACAGAUUUUCUGUAGGAAUCUCCCAGAAGCAAGAAGAGGUGCAGAGCUUUGUUCCCUGCGCAUACCAAUACAAGAAUGUGAAAACUACAGUCCUUGGUAAAGAGUCUAGGAUCAGCCUCUGACAGAGGCCAGUGAUGAAAAAUAGAACGAUGACUAUACAUUUGUGCUGUUUCUAAUCUUACUUCCCUGAGGAUUCCGUGCUGGCUUUUGUCACCUAGUGAUUGAGGGACUUCUGAGCCUUAAAUCUUCUUUCCUUCGGUUCAUCUGAUCAUUUUGGAAACCGUUUAUCCUUUUGCCAUCCAAAACAUCCCAUGGCAGUGAGUUACUAAAUCUGAUUAUACCUUUUCUGUGCAAUAACUUUAUGGUUUCAGCAUUUUUCAUUUUCACUUGAUACUGAAUUCUUGCAUUGUGAAAAGCAGCAAGUACUAAUCCUCCAUUCUCCACCUUGUUUGCUCAUGAUUUUAUAAACCUCAGACAUCAGUCAUGUCUUUUCCUACUUAAGAAGUUUGAGUUUAAAUAUCUUUCCUUGCACGGAAGCCUUUCUGUGUAUCUCUAUCUGGUUCCCUUUCUAGAUAUUCUGUAUGUUGUCUGCAUUUCAUUGCUUAGAAGGUGACCCAAGCUGUAUAGUGGUGAUGAGAACUGGAUUUGUAAGUUAGCACAGUGUCUUCGGUUUGACUCUCCAAUUCCCAGCUUCUUUUUGUCUUUGUCAUGGCACCCGAUCACUGCCCUGGUAUGUUCAGGGAGCUUAAAACGAACCUUGAAAUGGCAAAAGAUGUAACGUUUCCUGACUGACUCACAGAAGAUACUCUGCCUAUAAAUGCUAGUUCACACUUUCUGUGGGAGGUUGUGCCAACCUGUAUCAGUUAAGACAUGGAUUUGUGAUUUUUACAAAAGCUUGACUUGCUAGAAAGGGUGAGGAAGGCUUUGCGUUGUUGUAAGUUAUAGUCAUUGGUCCUCUCCAAGUUCCAUGCCUGUUUCCUUCUGUUCCUGUCUCCCCUCCCAAAUGACCCAGCUCUGAGAAAUGGAAGGGAAAAAUCUUCCCUAAAACUGUUUUGGUUCUUUUUCUGAUUCUGAAGGAAAAUACUCGAGUUGUGCUUCAGAAUACCAGUAGUUCCCAGCAUUACAGAAGCAAAUAACUUUCUUCGUUUGAUUGUAAGAAGGGGAGCUGAGAAGAAAACAGAAAGCUGGUCCUGCAUGUGAGGAAUUCUAUUUCAAAAGCCUUCCCAAACACCGGGGUGGAAAGUGCUGUCGUUUUUGCAGCAACUGAGGAGUUUUGUCAUUGUCUUUACUGGUUUGAACUACUUCUGGUUUUGUGGAAAGGUAGAAGCAUGAGAAACUUUAAAUGUUAAUGGUAUGUGCUGAUACAUCCUUGAUCCUACAGAAUCUUUAAGCAUCAGGUCUCUUUUGCAUAUGUGUUCAGGUGUACUGGGAGGUUCAAAUGUAUGUUAAGAAACUUAGGUGUUUAGGAAAGUUCUGGGAACUUUCUGAGAACAUUACUGUAGUACAAUUGCUGAAGCUUUUAAUGAAUUUUUUUAGACUCUUAACAUCUGAAACACUAGUCUUACUCUGAAACUGUUGAUCUUUUUCUUUUUGGAAAAACUGAAGGAAAAAUGUAAUGAAUUUUUCAGCCUUACCACAACUAAGGCCAAUUCUGGGGUCUUGCUGCCCCAGGGAGAUGGGACAGGCUGUAUUUAUGAUGUGGAAAAGGAUGAAAUACUAUUUCGGACCAAGAUGAGAUAGAGGGUUAACUGGUUUUUCCAAGGUAUUAGUUGAUCUAGUGAAAGAUACAGUCUUUCUACAAAUCCUUGCCCUGAAAUAACAAGCACAUCAAAGAUGACAUCAGACCUUAGUCUAGUGUUUAAGUUCCAUUUCUGCAGGAUGUAUUACCUUCCAGCCCCUCUGCUGUGUCUCUUUGUGAAGUCUUGUUGUAUUUGGGCUGCGAUGCAGAGCCAGCAUUAAGUAUGCAUUGUGUUUUCUUCAGUUUUACUUGAUUUUUAUUCCUUUCCCAGAUGACUUUGGCUGGCAUUCCUCUUAUCACUAUGAGACAAAGUACUAUUUGUUUUCUUGCCUUUUGUUUUGUCCCCCAGCCCCUUUUAUAUAAUUUUGUCAGCCCUCAAGUGUUUUCCUUUGUAGCAGAAGACACAGCUCUGCAGCAGGUGUGUCUCAGUUUCGGGUAUAUGGUACCUCUGCUUACAAAGUCAGAGCACCCAGCUGCAGCCAGAGAGACCUCCCCUUAGCAGGGAGGCGGCUGUAGCGGUGUGUGUGCAGUGUCCUGUCCCUGCUCUGCUCCCACAGCCACCCUCCACCUGUGCAGAGAAGCUGAAAGUGAAGCCAGAAGUGCAGUUCUCACCAGUGCUGCCAAAGACAGGAUUGCUUUCUUGGUGUUUCUCCCACAUCAGCCCUUCCACUCAUCACCUUGUCCAUAAAUUUAGUGCCCUUCUAUGCUGUCCUUUUUUGCAGCAGUGCCGGGCACUCCUUUAGCAACACCAGACUGGACAAGUCAGGGUUACUGGGAAGCUCUGAAGCUGGCCUGAGUUCUGCUGUUACAGACCUGGCUGCAUCCUGCUGCAUGCUGAUGUAUUUCACCCCCGGCACAGGUCGUAAAACCCCAUUGCUGCUCUGCUGGUGGCUCCAGCAGCCUCCUGCCCUGUGCCUUCCCCACCCGUUGCAGGCACUGAGCAGUCCCUGGCAGAGGAGGCUUUUUGGAGUCACGCUUGGGUGUUAAGUCACUCCAGUCUCAGCUGUUUCAAAGGAACCGUAGGUGCUUUAACCACUCCCAGUCUCUGUUGUUAAGACUAGGGCUGCCUUGCUGCUGUGAGGCUGAGAUCUAGAAAGUCAUCUGGUGAAUUGGAUCGAGGUGUUAAAAAUCCAGGAACUGUGUUCAGUGCAUCAGGCAUUUUUUGUUACCAGAUAGGGGGGUGGCACAGGAAGUGUACUCCCACCCCCCCACCCCCAAGUUUUGCAUUAGCCACUGGUGCUGAUGAAAGCCCAGCCCAGCUUAAGUAUGUUGAUGUGACUCCAUUACCACUGUGUCAGGGAACAGGAAGGUAGAAAUGGAUAGAUGCUAUCACUGAGUCUGACCCUAAUGAAAUAAGUGCCACUAUGUUAGUCAUUGCUAAGGUGGUGGCGGUUAGUGGAAAGGCUUGUACAGGAGCCAAGAAAAAAGUAACAAAAGGUUAAGCCUGGAAGGGCGGAGAAGGGAAGAGUUGGGCAAAAAGAGGAACUGAGGAGCUGGCAAAAGGGAUUCAACUUCUUGUAAACAUGCAGUUUUGUGAAAACAUGGCUAGGAUCUGCAUAGUAGAAGGUUUUUGGAGGCUGGAAGAACAAAAUCUCUUGUCUUUUAUAACUUUUCUACUCCUGACUAGCGCAACAAUGAUGCAGAAUUUUUGUCUGUAUUUCACAUCCUUGGAUUGGGGGAAGCAUCCAGAUGAUGCACCUCCCAGACAUGCACUUGGCAGAACAUGGAACCAAGUCAUUUCCAAAUUGCAGUAUUUGGAGAAUCAGUGAAAACAGGGUGGGAUGUUUGAAAGAAUUGACAGUACCAUGCCUGGAGGUACUUAGGAGGUUUUGAAAAGCUGUUUUGGUUUUUAGAGAAAGCUAAAUUAGCAGAACCAAAUCUUCUAUUGAAACUUAACCUCAGUUGAUUCUUCCAGGGGAAAUGUAGAAAGAAAGACUGCCUAUGAACCAGAAGGCCGAGGUGAAGAGUGGGCUUAUCUGUAGGUCAGAAGAGCCAGGUUCAGGUCGUCUUCUAGAUAGUCUGUCUAAGCCCCUGUCGGUAUUUGCAUACGUAGUGGAAAAACUUCAUCAGGACAGAAGGAAGAGGCAUCUCUGAACAACCUGUUGCUUAGAGCGCUGCUCUGCAGCAGGAGAAGUUCCUGCCCUACCACCAGAUGUAGGUGCACACAUGUACGUGAUUUAAUCAAAAAUACACUCUUCCGCUGUAUGCCUACAUGGAUUUUGGAGAUUCUUUGCAGGCAGUGUAGUGAGCAGCUGUGGGAGGCGGUGCACAGCGUUGUUUCUCUUCAGUUUGUUGCAGAAGUACUGCAUAAUGUGUGUCAUGUUUGAAAAGGGUAGAUGGCAGGAGGCAGCUGCUAGUUUAUGUGGUCCUUGGAGUCAACUUAAGUGCUGUGGAGGAAGGGUGAGAGGGAUUGCUCCAUCCCUGGGAGUGCUCUGCUGGGCCUCGACAUGCUCCCACAGAGCAGGGUAGGGCUAGCAGAGAGCUGCAGCAGGCUCUGCAGGCUGCAAGGGCUCCUUGUAGGAGAGAAGUACGUAAGCACAGUGGCAGAAAAAGGGGGUAACUUUUUGUAGCGACCAAGUGGACACUGCAUGGAGUUUUUCCGAUCAGGGAAACUAAUGGAACUCGCUGUACUGGAAAGACUAGGAGGCAGGCUGUGUGGUUUCCUUGCCUCUUGCAAGUAUGUAGCUGGACUUCUCUCAAUCUUCCGCUCUGUUGUCAUUUUAUAAUCCUUUAAGUCCUCUGGCCUUUUGUCCAAUUCCACCCACCAUGCUUUUCUUGAUGUACAGUUUUCAAAGCAUGGUAUAGUACUUCAGCUGUGCUUUAUAAGCACCAUAUGGAGCAGAGGGCUCUCUUCGCAUCCAGCUGACAGCUGUCCUGUUUAUUCUCUGCACUUUGCUGUCUGGCUUAUUUGCAGAAACCUGUGACUCAAUCCAGCCUCUGAACCUUUUUGAGGAAUUGCCUCAUUAGUGAUUUCUCAUCGUGUAUUUGUGCAAUUCAUUGUCCUCAAACUAUGUAUUUGUCCUUGCUGAAUUGCCAGCAUUUCCCAAACCACCUCCCCAGUUUGCCAAAGCCAUUCUAAUUCCUUUCACCAAUGCACUGGCACCUUCUUUUCAUUUGAGAUCUGCACGUGUAUAAUAUAUAAAUAAAUAUAAUAAUGUAACACAUAAAUAUAAAAUAGACCUUUUCUGUCCCAUGCAAUAGUGAAAAUAUCUGAUUGUUACAUCCAGGACCCAUCUUUGAGGAGCCUUGCUGAUAUAUUCUCCUGGACUGAUUUUUGCACCCCUUGAGAGCUGUUACCCUGAAAAAGGAGGAAAUGGUUUGACCAUGAGUAGCAGCCAACAUGGAUUUGUCAAGAAUAAAUCACCUCCCUGCUGUCAGGCAGAGCACUACCAGCAGGUCGAGAGAGGUGAUCCUUCCCCUCUGCUCAGCACUGGUGAGACACAUCUGGAGCAGUGAGUCUGGUUCUGGGCUCCCUAGUAUGAGAGAGACGUGGACAUACUGGAGAGAUUCCAGCGAAGGGCCACAAGGGCAGUUGCAUUUGGUGUGAUGCCCCUCCUCUGCGUUGUGCAGCGCUGAAGCACAGACACACUUCCUGCACGUUUCUGCUUCAUUUCUGGUGUGACUGGGGAUGCAUCCCUCAUCCUAAGAAUCAUCUCACAUACAUUCACAGUUGCCAUCUGUUUGGUCCUUAACUACAGGUACAACUUGUCCCUCCCAGGUCAAGGUUUGCUGGCCUCAUAGCAGAGGAGAUGUGUUGUUGGAGAGCUGUCACUGGGAAGGAGACCUUCCCCGCUGCUGUGCCCAGGUAGGCCUGCACAGAGGUACCCUAACGUGGGGGAAGAUGCCCCCCUUAAAACCACUUCCUUUCUUGUGCCCACCACAUGUGUGUGUAACAGGUGCUGUUUCAGUGCAUCAUUUAACUGCCUGGAAAACAGGGUGUGUUUCAGGGGCCAGGCCACGCAAGGAGGGGUCUGGAAGAUGCAGGCUGCUGGUGCUCACCUUGCCUCGCUCUGCUGCUGUUGCUUUUCUGGCUCUUUGCUUUGACUGUCCCGUUGUGCCAUGCGGGUGGCAGAGGUGGGCUUUUGCAAACUGCUUGAACAAGUCUCAGAUGCCAUUAAGAGAUAGGAACUGCUCUAGCUCUUACUUUCUAGGGACCCUAAACCUGUUCUCUUAGGGGCUUGUUCAGUGGCUCUGGCAGUGCAGAGUGGUCAGUGCUGAAGGAGCAGUUCAUAAAAUGUACCCGGUAGGUGUAUCUCAUGUGUGACAUGUUCCUGCUGGUAAGGACCAACCUCUGCUCAAGGUUAGGGUUCAGGUUAGGAGUGGGUUUGGUGGUGGGCAAAGAGGCUGCUUAUCACAGCAGCCAGGAUCAAAGGAAGAUCCAUUUCCCUCCGGAGAUGUCUGGUUCCCAUCUGCUGGCUGUCAUUGGAAGUGGUAAGUGGGAAAGCUCUGCCCUUCCAGCUGGCAGGGGUAAGAACGGGUCUUGCAGAAGGUGGAGCAGAAGGUGCUCAGUGCUGAGGUCAGAAGAGGAGCUGAGACCCACUAAAUUAGAUCUGCAUCACCGAGGGCAAGUUCAGAUGGUGGAAAGGAGGAGUAGGAUGCUCUUUCAGACUCUGUUCAGCUGUUGUGUGCAUGAGUCACUUCACAUCCCACCAAGUCCCCCUUAAUCAGCGAUGUUCUUCCUCAAAUGGCUGUGGACCUUCGCAUGUCUCUCUGGAUGCCUGAGCUUUCUUGAGAUGUGGUGGUGAUGGUCAGAAUGAGGGGCUCAUUCCUCUGUGGGUGUCUGAGCUCCUUUGUGGCUUUCGCUCCUCGAAGGAGCUGGAAUCGCUUAGUUGAAGGAGAUCUGACCUCCUCUCACCUCCUUCACUGCAUGUUCCGAGAGGGAUGGAGAUCCUACCCUGCAGCGCGGUCCGAGAUCUGCUUCCGGCUUUGCACCAGACAGGAAAAACCCAGGGCUUUGCGAGUGGGUCUGGUCACUGUUGGGGCUGCUCCCAGAGCAGGUAUGUGUGCCUGUGGCUCUGCUCCCAGCCUGGGGCCCAGGUGGCGGGUGCAGGUGGCUGGCUCGGGUGAACCGCAGCUGGCCUAGCCCAGGGAGAGCUGUGGGGGCACAGCUGGAGGGAGACCACAGGUUGACACCUUGCCGUCUGGGCCAGCAAGGCACUGUUUCCCUUGGCGUGGGCUUCUCAGCAGAGAAGGCACCCCUGGGCAUCGCCCAAGUCCGGACUGCUGUGGAGCAGGACAGGGAGCUGUGACACCCGCUGUCCCGUUCGGCCAUGCCAUUUUGGGCUGUGCGGGGCAGGUUUGGGAUGGGGAAGUCUGGCUGCAGCAGGGACCCAGAAGCUCAGCAAGGCAUGGAGAGUGCUAGUGCUGUCCGAAAAGCCAGUAGGGCAGAUACCAGGCUUGCCUGGUAACGUGUGCGUCCCUCUUGUAAAAACUGCUGCGAUAUUUGUGUGUGACCAAGAAGGUGCUAUUGGUGAUUAAAAACAAACAAACAGUUGUUGUAUGAAGACAGCUUUGACAAAGAGAUUGGGUGAGUGCAGGAGCGGGGAGGAGGAGGGAAAGAAGGUAGCAGCUGUGACAGGGAGGGGGUGGAGGUGAAUCAGCAAGCGCUGCAGAAUUGGGCCCCACUACUUUUUCCUCCCUCCCACUCCUUGAGAAAUUAAGAGUGUGAGAGCCUUGGGCAAGGUGAGUUCAUGUGACAUGGAGAAGGUGGGCAUCCGCACAAGCAGCCAGAUCUGCCCCACUCAUGGGUACUCGGCCCAUCUGUCAACCAAGUUUCCAGAAAGCAUGCUGGAGGGCUGGCCUGGGGAAGGAUGGUGAGGGAACAAGUGUGGUUAAGCCAAGUACAUGCUUCAAAUAGGUUGUUUUGGUGCCUUCUAGAAAUAAGCUGUCUCAUAACCCACCAUCUGUUUCAGUGCUGUCUGCAGCAGAGCUCUGUGUGCUGUGAAAAUAUCUCAAGCUCCUGAGGGAUGCUGUCGGCCAUUAUCAACACCAUACAUCCAGCACAUGUUGUGAAGAGUUCCUGCACCAACAGCUUCUUACCAGUAAAUGUAAAAAGAGGAGGGAAAAGUGGAUGUACUACAGAGAAAGGGGAAGAACACACUGAGCAGCAGUGGGAGUGGAGACACAGAAGUGCUGGGCCAGUUGGGAUGGUUGGUGCCUUUCAGGAGCCCCUGUGUAAGCAGUUUCUGCAGCACCUUGUAAAUCCCCACCUCACCUUGCUGGAGUUCUGACCCCCUGGCUGGGACAGCCUGUGGGCAGGGAAUCUUUGGCAAGGAAUGCUUCAGUGAGGGUGCUGGGCUGCCCUUUGCCCUUGGUGAGCAAUUUGAGGCAUCAGGUGAGAUGGCAGGAGUGCUUAACCCCAUACCUCAUCCCUCUGCUGAGGUCCUGCUGGCUUGAACUGGUGCUUUGUAAGUAUUUCUUACACUGUAGGUUUUCAGUUGAACCUCCUCAGCUGAGAGCAUGGUACUAGGAAAUAUUACUACAGCAUACUUUGAAUUCACAUAGACUUUGUAGAAAAAGAAUUUGAGACUUCCCUUUUCUAGAAUGAGAAGCACUGCUGUUCUGAGUACAACGGUGUGGCAUCUUGUUUGGAAUUUCCCUUGCUUUCUAUAUAUACACAUGCAGCAAAGCCACAGGAAAUGGAAGUUUAAAAAAAAAUACCAUAGAGUAUAGGUGUCUGCUUCUUGAACAAAUUUUACUCUUGUAGUCAGUUUUAUUAUUAGUGAGCACUUAAUCUUGAGGUAUCGUUUAAGGCUUGUUUUAAAAGAUGUGAUGUCCUAAAUCAUUGGAGGGGGAAGCAGGCGUUGCCUUAAAAGUUGCAGAAGACUUAAUAUGUUUUUUAGGUGCUAUACUGCUUGUGCUACAGAAGACAGCAUUGUUGUUGAUCUCUCCCUUGGGGCUUUUAGGGUAGGGACCAACUUCUGAGACUUCUCCCAGUUGUAUUUUCUGAGAUUUAAUGAGUCAGUCUUGUCUACAACUGCUGUCGUGAUUGUGUGCUAAGGGCGUGCUUCUGCAUGGCAACCAGCAUAGUUAUUGGUAAACAGCAUUUACUUUAAAAUCCCCCCCAAAAUACAUUAUAAUUAGGUUCAGGAGUAGUGAAAACCCACUUGCCAGCAGUUGGAGGAUAUGUGGUCUGAAAACCUAACUGUUGGUGAGACAGCUGCUCGGGAGCUCUGAGCUUUUCCUGGGUCUGAACCCGGCUCAUUUGGAAAGCAAAACUGAGGAAGGUAAUGAGGGAAAAAUUUUAGGAGAAGGAUGGACUAAUCAUGAAGGUAAUUGGAUAGAUACAUCUUGGCAGCUCUUUAUACGCUAGGAAACACUCCUACAAGUCCCAGAAGAGACAGUUACCCUGCCUCCUCCCAGCCUCCCUGGACCUACAGAGGUACCGCUGUCUGUCUUCCACUGUUGGUGUGCCUCUCCAGUAUGGGCAUUGCUCGCCAGUAACGAGAGAUUUACAGAAGCCUAAACAGGCAUUAACUUUGCCUGAAAACAGGGUUUGUUUAUCUUGGAUGCCUUUUGUUACCAAUACAGCAAAUAAGGAACCGAGUCCCAUAUGGUCCUGAAGUUUUUCUGUAUGGUUUCGAGUCUCUUGUGUGAGGACUUGUUUCUGCAGUUUUACACUUGGUAUGUGUUACAGUGAACAACCGUAGUACAAGUGGAUAAUUAAAGUUUAUGCUGUUGAAGGUCCUUUUCAUUUUAUGCAGUUACUUUCUUACUCAUAUGCUUUUUAUUGCUUUCUUUUAGACAAGGAGCUGGGUUGCUUUUACCAUUUUGACAGACAAGACAGGCACUACUUGGAGGGCCAUCCAGGUGGCAGAGAAUGCUGUUGUGAGGCCAGAAGGAGCUUUCCCUGAUUUAAAGGAUUCAUGCUGGGAGCUCAUGGCUGCUUUCACUUCAGUGUUGGGACAGUGGAGCCUGAGAAGUUUUAUUCAUUCUGGCCUGCAGCCUCAACUGUGAUGUAGGUGGUGGUGGUGGUGAUUGCUUGGGAUGCCUUGAUGCGUAUGCUUUGCCUUGUGAGGAGAGGGCAAGUGAAGAUUUUAUGGUUUCUGAAGAGAUCUACCAGUGACUGGUGUAAAAAGUCAAAGCGCUGGGUAAUAGAAAGGUUGUCUUAGAAGGGACAGUUUACGCCCUAUAAACUGAAACAAAUAUUUGCAUGUAAGCCAGUGGUGGUUCUUUACAGUGUUUGUAACUGGUACCUUGGUUAAGCCAAGACAAGAAAGAAAUAGGUAAAGCUUUUUAUCAACAAGAAAAAAAACCCCACCAACUCUGUAGGAAAGGGUAAAGUGAAAUAUCUCUGAAGUGAGGCAUUUUUAUGCUGAAAGCCAGCAGCUCUGUCCUAGAUUUUUGCCACAGGUGUUCAAAUGCCAGCCACCAUUUAUUGCACAGCUUUAGGUGGUAGCUGUGAUCUUUGCUUGAUCUAUGACUUGACCUGUUUGUGUCUGUUGACCCGCUGUGGUCCCUGUUGUAGGUAUAUCCAUUUUCCCAGCAUUGCAGUGCCCUCCUUUCCCAGGAUUCAUACUGAUCUCUACUUUGACCAGGGACUGAUUCACAGGUCUUAAAUCCACAAGAAUAGGUACUAUCACUUUCUGUGUACUGCAGAUUCUUGUAUCUAUUUCCAAUAGUUUUAGGUCAGUCUGUCCACCUAUACCCACAGCGAUAAACAUGAGUGGAAACCUAUAGCAGACUGGAGCUUCUGAUAUAUAUUAAAGCAGUGAUCAUCUCAAUGCAAUAAAAAAAAAAGGUACUGCCACGAUCUAACUUACAAACACAACAAUAAAGUAACUGUCUUGUAAUGUGAAUCACUAGGAAAAAAGGUCCAUAUUUUGCUUUAUCAAUUGCUGGCCAUAUAGUAUUGAUAUAGACUAAAGCUGUCAACAAGGCUUGUCUAAUGAGAACAGUCAGCAAAACUUAAGAUUAGCUUAUGCCACAGGAAGUUUAAUCAUGUUUCUCAGCCUGUAUUCUGUGGGCUGCAUCUGAUCUCUACAACCUUAAAAGGUGAUGUAUAGAGUGGUCACUUAAAAAAAACCCCACACAUUUCUGCAUGUUUGUGCAUGUUGUGGAAAAACAAGCCAGUAAUCAAUCACAGGUGUGUAGUUAGUUGAAGAUGAGAUUAGUAAGAACCACUGUACCUGCACACUGGAUGCAAUGGCCCAGGCAUCUUUUCUGGUAAUAUCCCACCGAAGACAACAUUAGCAUAAACCAUCAUCUUCCUCUGGGGCUGUAAAAGUAUCAAGGAAAAUAUCCACAGUACUCCUAAUGGGUAGUACUGGGCAGGAACCAAAGCAGAAGACAGGAGCGUUAUCCAGUGUGAGUUUCCUUGAAUUAUGAAAGGCCAUGGUUGUACUAGGCCUUUACUUUGUUAUCCCAUCCUCAAGUCCAGCUCUGACAUGGUGAGAAACACCCAGAGCCAAGGCUGAAAAAACUGUGACCUUGUUGUAUCUGUACACUUUAUCUUCUGAUACUUCUCAAAAUAGUCCCCUGCUCUUUUAAGUUUUCUCCAGGGUAGAUAGGACAAGAAGAAGAAAUCUAAACUAGCACUGGUGUAGUCAUAGAUGUGUGGCAGGGCAGGGUGUUCAAGGUGUUCCUGUGCAUCUGAAAGGCCAUUCUUUCUCUUGUAAAUCAGGAGUGAUUUUUCAUGAUAUUUGAAAAUA